ensembl:snoRNA
GCAGGGGUUUGGGUUUAUGGCAGGCCCGGCCCCAUGGGUCUCUCAUAGUGUCUCAUGGAAGAACAAACUAGCCCCGGACCAUUGAUUGCCUGGCCUUGCCCCCUGGGCUUCAGGUACUGAAGCAAGUUGCACAGUG